GCAGACUCACUCUGUACCCGGCUGCAGCCCCAGGCGGGUGCUUUUUUCGUCUGCUACAGAAACAUUCUGGGUGCUGUGACCACCUUGACCUCUGUCAAGGGUGAUGUAGUUGCCUGGGACACAGGG